rnacentral:rRNA from 1 species
UGAGGAAUUUUCCGCAAUGGGCGCAAGCCUGACGGAGCAACGCCGCGUGCAGGAGGACGGUCUUCGGAUCGUAAACUGCUUUUCCCAGGGACGAAGCAAGACGGUACCUGGGGAAUCAGCCCCGGCUAACUACGUGCCAGCAGCCGCGGUAAUACGUAGGGGGCGAGCGUUGUCCGGAGUUACUGGGCGUAAAGCGCACGCAGGCGGUCCAGCGCGUUGGGGGUGACAGCUCUCGGCUAAACCGAAAGAGUGCCUUCAAAACGGCUGGACUUGAGGCAUCGAGAGGGACACGGAAUUCCGGGUGGAGUGGUGAAAUGCGUAGAGAUCCGGAAGAACACCAAAGGCGAAGGCAGUGUCCUGGCGAUGAACUGACGCUCAGGUGCGAAAGCUAGGGGAGCGAACAGGAUUAGAUACCCCCGUAGUCC